GGGGUUUCUUAUCCUUUGUUAGUGUGGCGUCAUCGCAACAUCUCUUUCUUUGUUUUUUGUUUUCUUUUCUUGACAAGUUUCGCGCCGUCCUCUUGCGGUUGACUAUAUAUUUCCGCGACGACAAACAUUGUUUAUAUUAGAGAUAACUAGUAAAACUGUCCGUGCGUUGUAUCGGGUUAGAUUGUCAAUAUUUCAAUCAUG
rnacentral:lncRNA from 1 species